rnacentral:rRNA from 1 species
UCAAGUGACUAAGUGCAUGCGGCGGAUGCCUUGGCGAUCACAGGCGAAGAAAGACGCGGCAGCCUGCGAAAAGCUGCGGGGAGCUGGCAAACGAGCUUUGAUCCGCAGAUAUCUGAAUGGGGGAACCCACACCGCAAGGUGUAUCCGUAACUGAAUACAUAGGUUACGGAGGCGAACGAGGAGAACUGAAACAUCUAAGUAUCCUCAGGAAAAGAAAUCAACCGAGAUUCCGGCAGUAGCGGCGAGCGAACCCGGAGGAGCCCAGCUUUUGAUAGUACGAACUUUAGCCGAAAGGUCCUGGAAAGGCCUGCUAUAGUGGGUGAUAGCCCCGUAGGCGAAAAAGUUUGUGCGGUACUAAGGAAGCGAGAAGUAGAGCGGGACACGUGGAAUCCUGUUCGAAGAUGGGGGGACCAUCCUCCAAGGCUAAAUACUCGUGAUCGACCGAUAGUGAACCAGUACCGUGAGGGAAAGGCGAAAAGAACCCCGGGAGGGGAGUGAAAUAGAACCUGAAACCGCAUGCAUACAAACAGUAGGAGCCUCGUCAGAGGUGACUGCGUACCUUUUGCAUAAUGGGUCAGCGACUUACAUUCUGUGGCGAGCUUAACCGAAUAGGGGAGGCGCAGCGAAAGCGAGUUCGAAAUGAGCGUCCAGUCGCAGGGUGUAGACCCGAAACCAGAUGAGCUAUCCAUGGCCAGGUUGAAGGUGUGGUAACACACACUGGAGGACCGAACCGACUAGUGUUGCAAAAUUAGCGGAUGAGCUGUGGAUAGGGGUGAAAGGCCAAACAAAUCUGGAGAUAGCUGGUUCUCCCCGAAAACUAUUGAGGUAGUGCCUCGUGUGUCGCUCCAGGGGGUAGAGCACUGUUUUGGCUAGGGGGACAUGGAGUCUUACCAAACCAAGGCAAACUCCGAAUACCUGGAAGCGUGAGCACGGGAGACAGAGCACCGGGUGCUAACGUCCGGACUCAAAAGGGAAACAACCCAGACCGCCGGCUAAGGUCCCAAAUAACAGCUAAGUGGAAAACGAAGUGGAAAGGCCGUGACAACCAGGAAGUUGGCUUAGAAGCAGCCAUCCUUCAAAGAAAGCGUAAUAGCUCACUGGUCGAGUCCUUCUGCGCGGAAGAUGUAACGGGGCUAAGCUGUUAACCGAAGCCGCGGAUGCACUGGUUAUCCAGUGCGUGGUAGGGGAGCGUUCUGUAAGUCUGCGAAGGCGGUUCGAGAGGACUGCUGGAGAUAUCAGAAGUGCGAAUGCUGACAUGAGUAACGUUAAAGCAGGUGAAAAGCCUGCUCGCCGUAAGCCCAAGGAUUCCUGCUCUACGUUCAUCGGAGCAGGGUGAGUCGGCUCCUAAGGUCAGGCCGAAAGGCGUAGCCGAUGGGAAUCAGGUUAAUAUUCCUGAACCUGCGUCAGAUGCGAUGGGGGGACGGAGCAUGGAAGAUCAUCCGGGUGUUGGAAGUCCCGGUUGUUGAGCGUAGGAGGUCUGCAGGCAAAUCCGCAGACGCAUCUCCAAGGCAAAGACACGUGCCGCCACGGCGGCGAAGUGAUCGGAAGUGCUUCCAAGAAAAGCCUCUAAGCACCAGUCUGACGCGGACCGUACCGCAAACCGACACUGGUGGGCGAGCUGAAUAUGCUCAGGCGCUUGAGAGAACUCGGGAGAAGGAACUCGGCAAAUUGACACCGUAACUUCGGAAGAAGGUGUGCCGUAGUACCGUGAGAGGAGAGACACCUUGAGCGGGAAACGGUCUCAGAGAAUAGGUGGCUGCGACUGUUUAUUAAAAACACAGCACUCUGCAAAGUCGAAAGACGACGUAUAGGGUGUGAUGCCUGCCCGGUGCUGGAAGAUUAAUUGAUGGGGUGAGAGCCCUUGAUCGAAGUCCCAGUAAACGGCGGCCGUAACUAUAACGGUCCUAAGGUAGCGAAAUUCCUUGUCGGGUAAGUUCCGACCUGCACGA